GAGAGAGAGAGAGAGAGAGAGAGAGAGAGAGAGAGAGAGAAUACCAGUUGGAGGAUUUCUCCGGAGUCAGGCAGGCCUGCGAGAGGAGCUAUGAGCUUGGAAAAGGGAGAGCUGUGCCGGUGGAUGCUACUGAGCCUGAGCCGGUUUGUGUUCUUCCUCCCACUUUUGGUCACGGAUGUGCUGUAUGACAGUGCAUCAUGGGUAGUGCGGAGAGCCAUUACUGUUCACAGACCUGAGAACAAGCAAUUGUAAGUAAUGCGGUCUUCUGUGAAUUCCUGAGCUGUCUGUUCACUACUCCCACUUCGAAGAAUCCUGUGUCUCUGACAUAAUUAAAAUGUUCAUUAAUGUAAUCAUACAGUCCUAAGGUUUCAGUCCAUCAUCAAACGAAGCCAAGAAAAGAACUGGAGGCAGACGGUUGAAGCAGAAACUAUGGAAGGAGCUGCUUUGAGGCUUGCUUUUCCACAGCUACCUUUCAUGCAACUCCAGCCAUCUGACUAUGAUGGUACAUCAUGCAGUAGGCUUGGCCCUCUUGCCUCAGUGAACAGUUAAGACAAUACCCUUCAAACAUAUCACAGUCAAUAUCAUCAAGGCAUUUCUUCAGUGUGGGGUUUGCUCUGCUCAGUCAGUUCUGGGUUGGAGUCAAGUUGGCAGCUGAAGAUAACUAGGUCAGCUGGCCAUUUUUACGUGACAUUCAAGACAUAAUAACAAUAUAAGGAAAAUCAAUUGAGUGGAUUUGAGUUAAAUAAGCAAAAAUGCAUCGUGAAUUAUUACAGUAAAGCUGGUGUCCCCCCACAACGGAGUGCGGUGGAAACUGCACAGCAUAAGAAGAGAACUAUUUUUAACAUGCUUGCCUCGAACUCUGUGUAGGUACCUAGGAAUUCUCCCAGUCAGCACUGGGAUACUGCACUGUUGUGCAAAUAGAAGUCCCUGAGAGAAAGUUGACUUGCUCAGGUCUAGCAGAAGGCACAGGGCAAAGGAAAAGGGCCAACUACUCUGUUUUUCCAUGACAUGAUUCCGCACGUUAUUGAAGUUAUUUAUCUCAGAGGGCCCUGCAAUUUGAGCAUCAGCAGUGUAAAGUAGCCAUGUCUUAAUCAAAAGGAGAAAAAAGUUAUUUUUCCUUUAUGGUAUUGAAAUUAGAUCACCAGGGCUGGGGAAAAAAAUCAUCAAAGGUUAAGCACUCUUGAUGUUAUUGCAAAGGAUUAAGUUUGCUUUCCAGAACCCAUGUGUGGCCACGCAGCCCACAGUUGCCUGUAAAUCCAGAUCCAGAGGAUCUGGCUUCCUCUUCUUCUCUGCUGAUAUCUGCUGUCGCACACAUACCUCCACAUGGACAUACCCGCACACACAGAGUUAAAACAAAUAAAUCUUUCAAAAAUUAAUCCUACCAUGAAAUGUAAGGAUAUGCAAAAUCUAAUUAUACUCUGGUAAUAUUAUGAAAACAACUUUGUGCUGAAAUGAUUUGUUUUCAUUAUAUUUUUGAAACCAAUAUUCAGAAAUAAAGAGCAAAAAUGGCAUUUUUUUAGUAAUAAUUAAGUCUAAUGUUGUUGAAUGAAAUUAUGAGGACAUUUGAAAUAAUUCCCCUAUAAAAUUGUGCUGAAAAUGAGUUAGAAUGCAUGAAAACAUACUCUGUGGCAAUGAUGUCUUGUACAACUAAUUUUCAUCCAUAGUUGCACAGGAAAAUGUAUUAUCUUUUAUUUAUCUUUAAC